GGCGAGAUGGCCGAGCGGUUAAGGCGUGUGACUCAAGAAAAUCUAAAGCGGGCUGACCGCCGGGUUGUCUUACCCUGAUUAGGGUUUCUCAUCAUCGUAUGAUGGCAGGGGUUCGAGUCCCCUUCUCGUCA